UACAGAGGUCUCAAGCGUUGUUCGGAUUCAUUGGGCGUAAAGGGUGCGUAGGUGGCGCCGUAAGUCGGGUGUGAAAUUUCGGAGCUUAACUCCGAAACUGCAUUCGAUACUGCGGUGCGUUGAGGACUGGAGAGGAGACUGGAAUUCAUGGUGUAGCAGUGAAAUGCGUAGAGAUCAUGAGGAAGACCAGUGGCGAAGGCGGGUCUCUGGACAGUUCCAUGACACUGAGGCACGAAGGCCAGGGGAGCAAACGGG
rnacentral:rRNA from 1 species